GUCAGUCUUUAUGUCAGUUCCUGUAAGGAGAGAGACAGGACGUUCAAGCUGAACAGAUGAUCAGGUGAUCAGGUGAACAGCUGAACAGGUGAACAGAUGAUCAGGUGAUCAGGUGAACAGAUGAUCAGGUGAACAGAUGAUCAGAUGAACAGGUGAACAGCUGAACAGGUGAACAGGUGAUCAGGUGAACAGAUGAACAGGUGAACAGAUGAAGAGGUGAUCAGGUGAACAGAUGAACAGGUGAUCAGGUGAAGAGGUGAUCAGGUGAACAGAUGAACAGGUGAUCAGGUGAACAGAUGAACAGGUGAGCAGAUGAGCAGGUGAUCAGGUGAACAGAUGAGCAGGUGAACAGAUGAGUAGGUGAUCAGGUGAACAGAUGAACAGGUGAUCAGGUGAACAGAUGAGCAGGUGAACAGAUGAGUAGGUGAUCAGGUGAACAGAUGAGCAGGUGAUCAGGUGACCAGGUGAAAAGGUGAACAGAUGAACAGGUGAACAGAUGAAGAGGUGAUCAGGUGAACAGAUGAACAGGUGAACAGAUGAAGAGGUGAUCAGGUGAACAGAUGAGCAGGUGAUCAGGUGAACAGAUGAGCAGAUGAACAGAUGAAGAGGUGAUCAGGUGAACAGAUGAACAGGUGAACAGAUGAAGAGGUGAUCAGGUGAACAGAUGAAGAGGUGAUCAGGUGAACAGGUGAACAGAUGAAGAGGUGAUCAGGUGAACAGAUGAGCAGAUGAACAGAUGAACAGGUGAUCAGGUGAACAGAUGAGCAGGUGAACAGAUGAAGAGGUGAUCAGGUGAACAGAUGAACAGGUGAACAGCUGAACAGGUGAUCAGAUGAACAGGUGAUCAGAUGAACAGGUGAACAGAUCGUCAGUUGAACAGGUGAUCGAGUAAAAUCAUGAAAGGGUGAACAGGUGAAGUGCUGAAGCUUCAGCUGA